rnacentral:rRNA from 1 species
ACACGACUACAUUAGAUACCCCCGUAGUCCUAGCCGUAAACGAUACUCGCUAGGUGUCGGCCCACGGUGCGACCGUUGUCGGUGCCGUAGGGAAGCCGUGAAGCGAGCCACCUGGGAAGUACGGCCGCAAGGCUGAACUUAAAGGAAUUGGCGGGGGAGCACCACAACGGGUGGAGCUUGCGGUUUAAUUGGAUUCAACGCCGGAAAUCUUACCGGGACCGACAGCAACAUGAAGGCCAGGCUGAAGACUUUGCCGGAUUAGCUG